UGGGGAAUCUUGCGCAAUGGGCGAAAGCCUGACGCAGCGACGCCGCGUGCGGGAUGACGGCCUUCGGGUUGUAAACCGCUUUCAGCAGGGACGAGGCCGCAAGGUGACGGUACCUGCAGAAGAGCCCGGCUAACUACGUGCC
rnacentral:rRNA from 1 species